rnacentral:lncRNA from 1 species
ACCUCCGUCUCCGGGUCGUCGUCCUUCGUGAUCUGACGCGACUCCACCCUCUUCUUCGAUGCUCCGUUCCCGGGGCUGUCCUCCACCGACGCCAUUCUCACCACCCCCUCCAUCGACCCCGCUUCACCCUGCACAUCACUCCACCAAUCUCAACCACCGCAUUCGCAUCCGCAUCCGACCAACACGAUCACAUCUUUCCACUCCUACAAAGUCAUGCCUCUGCAUACUCCACAUACAACACCGCCACAACACCACAACCAUUCAUCAAAAAUACCCAUCGCUGCAGGACAUUCACACACGCCGACACCACCAUCUACCACCAUUCCCAAAACCGCUUCAACCAUCCAACUACUCUCUCUCUCUCUCUCUCUCUCUCUCUCUCUCUCUCUCUCUCGCUCUCUGCUUCUCUCCCGCACGUUGCCGAUACGCGACAUCCGACCCUACGCAUUCUCCCCACCGUUUCAGCGAUCCGGAAACAACUGUCCCGCAUGAAACGAUACGCGUAUAGGAACCUGCAACUCAUCCAACACGCUUGCGCUUGCCGGAAUCUGGGCCUCUACUUAACAUCAUCACUUGGCCGUCCUUCCAGUUUCCAACAUACGAAGCGCUGCCCGCGUGAAAGCCAACCUCGGACAUGAAAACCUAACACCCACCCGAACCGAUUCUCACGCCAAGAAUCACGAUGCCUUCCAUGCAUGACAACCUCACAAAGCACCACGGGACGCGGAGGUGGCGCGACCAAACAGAUCUGCCACAACUGGGGACGGAGAGAUCACUGCCUUGCCUGCGGAGGUCCAAAUCACAAUACUGGGAUCUAGUAGGUUUCUUCUCUUCGCUGUAGCUGAGAGUGGGGAGUGGCCAUGACAGAUCGCUGUACUUCCGCAUCGAAUUGCUGAGCACGAUACUUUGUACCACAUCUUGCAGAUUGAUUCCAGGUCGGCAUCGCUUCGGGACCCCUUUACCACGGCCAUUCUCUAUCCUCGUGCGCGGGGGCCAGGGGAGGACCCCAAAUUUGAAUCUUUCCAAAAUUUCACAUGGUGUGAUCAAAUUUCCACCUACGCUUACUGUGAUUUCUAACCUAAGCCUGCUGAAACGCAGCAACGAAACAGUCAUGCAAUUCCACAGCGGGAGUAGUGAUAGGUAAAGAAGGACUGAUACCUUUCUCUGGCAGAACCCAAAAGAGCUGUCACCAAAUGGCACCCACAACGACCCAGCAGAUCCGGAGAUUCAUAUAAAAUUGCAGCGCUGUAGAAUGUGAAGGCGCGAGGAAGCGAGAGAAAGGGAGGGAGAAAGAGAAAGAGAGCACACAGUAACUCUAUCCGGCGUUCAGUUGGAAAGCAAGAGUUGCGAGCUGCGCCGCCUUAGAGCUGCAAGCUAAGCCGCGCUUGGCGCUCCUCCUUCUCCUCCACCUCCUGCUCGUUACUCGUUACUUCCCCGUCGUUGUGCUUCCUCUUCCUCUCCCUCUCCUCCAGACGCUGCGCAUCCCACUUUGUAAGCUCGCAAGGUUAGGUCACGCAUGGCGAUCCUUGUCAUGCUGGUGUCUCCCUGUCUCGGUGUGUGUCUCGUCGGAUAUCCCAAGACUGGCCCUCGGAAAUUUUAAACUACGCCACGCCUGGGGCCGGUUCUCGCCGCACCUCGUUCCCCGGCACAUUGCUUCACUGCCCAUCUCUCACAAGCUUGGCAAGAGGCUCCACCAUAACAAACGAUCCAUCAAACGAAUGAAGGAAGGAAAGGAGGAAUAUGCCAUUUGUGUUUAAUAUAUAACCCAUUUCAGAUCAAUUCCAUUGCAAUAUUUCUAGGGGGAAUGUUUAAUAGACCCAACAUUUUACUAAAUUAACCCAUCUAUCCUAACC